rnacentral:rRNA from 1 species
AACGAACGCUGGCGGCGUGCUUAACACAUGCAAGUCGAACGGUAAGGCCCUUCGGGGUACACGAGUGGCGAACGGGUGAGUAACACGUGGGUGAUCUGCCCUGCACUUCGGGAUAAGCCUGGGAAACCGGGUCUAAUACCGGAUAGGACCACUGCCUGCAUGGGUGGUGGUGGAAAGCUUUUGCGGUGUGGGAUGGGCCCGCGGCCUAUCAGCUUGUUGGUGGGGUGAUGGCCUACCAAGGCGACGACGGGUAGCCGGCCUGAGAGGGUGACCAGCGACACUGGGACUGGGAUACGGCCCAGAAGCCUACGGGAGGCAGCAGUGGGGAAUAUUGCACAAUGGGCGCAAGCCUGAUGCAGCGACGCCGCGUGAGGGAUGACGGCCUUCGGGUUGUAAACCUCUUUCAGCACCGACGAAGCGCAAGUGACGGUAGGUGCAGAAGAAGGACCGGCCAACUACGUGCCAGCCGCCGCCGUAA